rnacentral:rRNA from 1 species
GAUGAACGCUAGCGGCAGGCUUAAUACAUGCAAGUCGAGGGGCAGCAGGACUGUAGCAAUACAGUUGCUGGCGACCGGCAAACGGGUGCGGAACACGUACGCAACCUUCCUUUAAGUGAGGGAUAGCCCAGGGAAACUUGGAUUAAUACCUCGUAAUAUUUGAGAGUGGCAUCACUUUUUAAUUAUAGCUCCGGCGCUUAAAGAUGGGCGUGCGACUGAUUAGGUAGUUGGCGGGGUAACGGCCCACCAAGCCUGCGAUCAGUAACUGGUGUGAGAGCACGACCAGUCACACGGGCACUGGGACACGGGCCCGACUCCUACGGGAGGCAGCAGUAAGGAAUAUUGGUCAAUGGACGCAAGUCUGAACCAGCCAUGCCGCGUGGAGGAUGAAGGUCCUCUGGAUUGUAAACUUCUUUUAUCUGGGAAGAAACCCAUAUUUUCUAGUGUGGUUGACGGUACCAGAUGAAUAAGCACCGGCUAACUCCGUGCCAGCAGCCGCAGUAACAC